rnacentral:rRNA from 1 species
UACGGGGGGGGCAAGCGUUGUUCGGAAUUACUGGGCGUAAAGGGCGCGUAGGCGGCCUUCUAAGUCGGACGUGAAAUCCCUCGGCUUAACCGAGGAACUGCGUCCGAUACUGAAAGGCUUGAAUCCGGGAGAGGGAUGUGGAAUUCCAGGUGUAGCGGUGAAAUGCGUAGAUAUCUGGAGGAACACCGGUGGCGAAGGCGGCGUCCUGGACCGGUAUUGACGCUGAGGCGCGAAAGCUAGGGGAGCAAACGGG